CAGAAUAUUGUAGUAUAGGUACUGUGGUGCGAUUUAUGUAGAGUAUAUGUCAGCUGGCUCAGAGAUGAAUUGGUCGGUUGACCCCGGUGUGCUGGGACCGUACUCUUAUGAGUAGUGUGUGGGUUGUAGGUGGUUGAGUCGUGUACCUCUGUGUGUAUGUAAGGUAGAGCCUUAAGCCAUGUUGUUAGCUCCGGUAUGCUGUUCUUAAUAGAGGGUGAAUACAUGGUUCUUGUUGUAGUAAGCGUGGUGUGUGGUUAGGUUGGUUGAUGUGCGUCUGAAUGUAUG